AUUGAACGCUGGCGGCAGGCCUAACACAUGCAAGUCGAGCGAGCGGCGGACGGGUGCGUAAUGUCUGGGAAACUGCCUGAUGGAGGGGGACAACUACUGGAUACGGUAGCUAAUACCGCAUACCAUCAGAUGUGCCACGAUGGGAUUAGCUAGUAGGUGGGGUAAUGGCUCACCUAGGCGACGCUCCCUAGCUGGUCUGAGAGGAUGACCAUCCACACUGGAACGGAGCCACGGUCCAGACUCCUACGGGAGGCAGCAUUGGGGAAUAUUGCACAAUGGGCGCAAGCCUGAUGCAGCCAUGCCGCGGGUGUGAAGAAGGCCUUCGGGUUGUAAAGCACGUUCAGCUGGGCGGCGUUACCCGCAGAAGAAGCACCGGCUAACUCCGUGCCAGCAGCCGCGGUAAUAC
rnacentral:rRNA from 1 species